rnacentral:rRNA from 1 species
AGAGUUUGAUCCUGGCUCAGGACGAACGCUGGCGGCGUGCUUAACACAUGCAAGUCGAGCGAUGAAGCUUCCUUCGGGAAGUGGAUUAGCGGCGGACGGGUGAGUAACACGUGGGUAACCUGCCUCAAAGUGGGGGAUAGCCUUCCGAAAGGAAGAUUAAUACCGCAUAAUAUAAGAGAAUCGCAUGAUUUUUUAUCAAAGAUUUAUUGCUUUGAGAUGGACCCGCGGCGCAUUAGCUAGUUGGUAAGGUAACGGCUUACCAAGGCAACGAUGCGUAGCCGACCUGAGAGGGUGAUCGGCCACAUUGGAACUGAGACACGGUCCAGACUCCUACGGGAGGCAGCAGUGGGGAAUAUUGCGCAAUGGGGGAAACCCUGACGCAGCAACGCCGCGUGGGUGAUGAAGGUCUUCGGAUUGUAAAGCCCUGUUUUCUAGGACGAUAAUGACGGUACUAGAGGAGGAAGCCACGGCUAACUACGUGCCAGCAGCCGCGGUAAUACGUAGGUGGCGAGCGUUGUCCGGAUUUACUGGGCGUAAAGGGUGCGUAGGCGGAUGUUUAAGUGGGAUGUGAAAUCCCCGGGCUUAACCUGGGGGCUGCAUUCCAAACUGGAUAUCUAGAGUGCAGGAGAGGAAAGCGGAAUUCCUAGUGUAGCGGUGAAAUGCGUAGAGAUUAGGAAGAACACCAGUGGCGAAGGCGGCUUUCUGGACUGUAACUGACGCUGAGGCACGAAAGCGUGGGUAGCAAACAGGAUUAGAUACCCUGGUAGUCCACGCCGUAAACGAUGGAUACUAGGUGUAGGGGGUAUCAACUCCUCCUGUGCCGCAGUUAACACAAUAAGUAUCCCGCCUGGGGAGUACGGUCGCAAGAUUAAAACUCAAAGGAAUUGACGGGGGCCCGCACAAGCAGCGGAGCAUGUGGUUUAAUUCGAAGCAACGCGAAGAACCUUACCUGGACUUGACAUCCCUUGCAUAGCCUAGAGAUAGGUGAAGCCCUUCGGGGCAAGGAGACAGGUGUGCAUGGUUGUCGUCAGCUCGUGUCGUGAGAUGUUAGGUUAAGUCCUGCAACGAGCGCAACCCUUGUUAUUAGUUGCUACCAUUAAGUUGAGCACUCUAAUGAGACUGCUGGGUAACCAGGAGGAAGGUGGGGAUGACGUCAAAUCAUCAUGCCCCUUAUGUCCAGGGCUACACACGUGCUACAAUGGUAGGUACAAUAAGAYGC